rnacentral:tRNA from 1 species
GCCUAGUUAGCUUAGUUGGUAGAUAGUGCGUCUGCCUUGUAAGCGCUAGGCCGCGGGUUCGAUUCCCGCCCGGGGCG